UUCGGAUGCUGACGAGUGGCGAACGGGUGAGUAAUACAUCGGAACGUGCCUAGUAGUGGGGGAUAACUACUCGAAAGAGUAGCUAAUACCGCAUGAGAUCUACGGAUGAAAGCAGGGGAUCGCAAGACCUUGUGCUACUAGAGCGGCUGAUGGCAGAUUAGGUAGUUGGUGGGAUAAAAGCUUACCAAGCCGACGAUCUGUAGCUGGUCUGAGAGGACGAUCAGCCACACUGGGACUGAGACACGGCCCAGACUCCUACGGGAGGCAGCAGUGGGGAAUUUUGGACAAUGGGCGAAAGCCUGAUCCAGCAAUGCCGCGUGCAGGAUGAAGGCCUUCGGGUUGUAAACUGCUUUUGUACGGAACGAAAAGCUUUGGGUUAAUACCCUGGAGUCAUGACGGUACCGUAAGAAUAAGCACCGGCUAACUACGUGCCAGCAGCCGCGGUAAUACGUAGGGUGCAAGCGUUAAUCGGAAUUACUGGGCGUAAAGCGUGCGCAGGCGGUUUUGUAAGACAGAGGUGAAAUCCCCGGGCUCAACCUGGGAACUGCCUUUGUGACUGCAAGGCUAGAGUACGGCAGAGGGGGGUGGAAUUCCGCGUGUAGCAGUGAAAUGCGUAGAUAUGCGGAGGAACACCGAUGGCGAAGGCAACCCCCUGGGCCUGUACUGACGCUCAUGCACGA
rnacentral:rRNA from 1 species